rnacentral:hammerhead_ribozyme from 1 species
GCACUGCUGACGAGUUCUAAACAAGGCGAAACAGCUGUCCAGUGC